GGGCUUGGGUCCCCCAGCGGCCCAGCUCACUCCUCCCCCCGCCCCUGUGGGGCUCCGAGGCUCUGGCCUCAGAGGCCUCCAGAAAGACAGUGGGCCUCUGCCGACGCCCCCUGGGGUCUCACUGCUGGGGGAGCCCCCCAAGGACUACCGGAUUCCCCUGAAUCCCUACCUGAACCUACACAGCCUGCUCCCGGCCAGCAACCUGGCGGCAGCAGCAAAGCCUUCCAGCUCAAGUCCCGCCUGCUCAGCCCCCUCAGCAGCGCCCGCCUGCCCCCCGAACCAGGACUGUCUGACAGCUACAGCUUCGACUACCCCUCGGACAUGGGACCUCGGCGGCUCUUCUCCCACCCACGGGAACCAGCCCUUGGGCCUCACGGACCCAGCCGACACAAGAUGUCCCCCCCGCCCAGUGGCUUCGGCGAACGGAGCAGCGGUGGGAGUGGCGGGGGCCCCCUGUCUCACUUCUAUUC
rnacentral:lncRNA from 1 species